rnacentral:rRNA from 1 species
UACGUAGGGAGCAAGCGUUGUCCGGAAUCAUUGGGCGUAAAGGGUGCGUAGGUGGCGCCGUAAGUCGGGUGUGAAAUUUCGGAGCUUAACUCCGAAACUGCAUUCGAUACUGCGGUGCUUGAGGACUGGAGAGGAGACUGGAAUUCAUGGUGUAGCAGUGAAAUUCGUAGAUAUUCGCAAGAACACCAGUGGCGAAGGCGGCUCACUGGCCCGAUACUGACGCUGAGGCACGAAAGCGUGGGGGAGCAAACAGG